CUCCAUCACUCGCCUUGGUGGACGCUAUGGUGACUGUACAAACGGAGGGGGAUACGAGCUCCUGUACGGGGGGACUUACACCCAGGCAAACUGCCUUGUCACCUGUCACCAGCAGCACAUGGUCAGUGUGUGCGGAUGUGCUGACCCUAGUUUCAAGGCACCGGUCAACACAGCCUUUUGCGACAGUGUUACCACCACUGUGGAAUGUACGAACAGAGUAAAGAGGGAAAUCGCAACAGGUGUGCUGCCUUGUACCUGUCCAGCGAGCUGCUCG